UAACAUCACAUGUCCACCAAGAGAGUAUCUUCGUAUAAAGAUCAAAAAAUCGCAGUUGAACGAUCUGGGAAAAAAUCUGUGAAAAAUUUCGUUCGAAUGUCACGAUUGAUUCACGUAAUACACAUUUCAUAACGUGUUCGAUUGAUCGAGAUAAUUUUCGCGUCUCGCCUUGCGACAUCGAUCAUGAAAUACUUGGGUAAAUAUGACACUUUGUCGUGCAGGUAGCAUUACUUCGCGUUUAAUUGGGUCGAGAGCGUGAGUUUGUGAGGUUAGGUUGCAUGGGAAAAUUAUGAUAGAUUACGCGCAAUUGGGAAUAGAAUUAUGUAUAUAUUAAUUUAUCGUUAAGAAAAUAGCAUCCUUUUAGAAAAGAUUUUGGAUAGUAGAAGAGCAAUUGUGUUGAAAUGAUUAUUUUUCUUGCUCGAUAAAUCUAAUCCUCGAUAAUAAAUCCUUGAUAUUUAAUAUUUAAAUCAAUGAUUUGAUAAUGUAAAUUCUAGUAAUUUGAAGUUUGUCACUAACCCUAAUAAUCUAGGAACCGAUAAUCUCUCUUCCAGUCUUGAUAAUUCAGAUCCUAAUUACCUAGCUUUCAAUUACGCUUAAUAACGUAUCAAUAUCAAUUCAGGUACCAACAAAAUAGAUUGAUAAUUUAGGUUAGGUUCUGAUAAUCUAAAUCUUUAUCUCUAAACUCUGAUCUAAUCAACAAUAUAAUCUAAGUCCUAAUAAUUUAAAUUUUGAUGACCUGACUUUAAUAAUUUAAUAUAGAUCUUCAAUUAUUUAGAUUUCCUGAUAAUCUAAGUCAUAAUAAUUAUAAUAACUUAGGUUCUAAUGACUUAACCUCAAUAAUCUAGGCAUCAAUAUUUUAUCUUUUAAUAAUCUAAAUAAUUUAGGUUCUGAUAAUCUCAGUCUUAAUAAUCUAAGUCCUAAUGACCUAACGCUAAUAAUCUAAACAUAUGAUAAUUUAUCUUCCAAUAAUCUAAAUACCGAUAAUUUGUUUCCCAUUAAUUAAAUUCCUCGAUUAUCUAAGUCUAAUAAUUUAAGUUCCAAUAACUCAAGUUCCUAAUUUAACCUAACUUAAUCUAAUCUAGACUACUGUAUUAGUAAUCUAACUUCCAAUGAUUUAGGUUACCAAUAAUUUAAAUUCCAAUAAUUUAAAACUCAAAAAAUUUAGUUCUAAAUAAUAUAAAUCCGAUAAUCUAAAUUUCAAUAGCUUAGAUCUUGAUAAUUUAGGUUUCAAUCAUUUAAAUUCUAAUAAUCUAAUUUUAAUUAUCUAAAUUUUUAAUAACUAAGAUAAUUCUUUAUGAUCUAAUCCUUAAUUAAUUCUUAGUUCUUAAUUAUGCAAGUGCACCAAAUGGUGCAUCUUUAGUGUUCAUUGAUUUAAUUUUUAAUAGUUUAGUUCUUAAUAAUCUAGACCUACUAACUUAGACUCCAAUGAUUUAUGACUACACUUCAAUAAUCUAAUCUUCAACUUAAUUUCUAAUAAUCUAUUUUCCGAUAAUCUAAUUAUAAUAAUCAUUUUUCAAUAAUUCCAAAUAUUUUCUCUAUUUUUAAGAAAUAAAUUUCAGAUUGAGAAAAACAAAGAUGAAUCGGGAUAUCAAAGAUAUCUCUAAGAGAAAGGAAAAAUUGUAUUAAACAGAUCGAUCGAAAUUGGAACAUGUAGUGGUAGGUGUCGCACGUGUCGCCCACUCGUGUGUCGCCACCGAAUUACGUAAGAGUCAAAGUCGUUACUCAUUGGCCGAGUCGUUCAUGCAUGAUUCAUCCUUUAAUCCGGCGACCGGCUGUUAAUAACGGCCGAGUUUAUUUUAAACCAACGUCCUGACACUGGAUCCUACUUGAUCGAAACAAUUCGAAGGCGAUCGACCUGCGGCAAAAAUUUUCAUCUCUCUGUCUGUCUUGAUUCACCUCUCUGUAAAUAGGUGUGAUUUUCUGUAGUCAUGGAAAUUAAAUAAAAAUUAAAUCAAAAUGAACUAGUAGAAAUGGCAAAUCUGAUUACGACAUCAAUAAAAAUUAUAGAAAUCAGGUUUAAAUCCGAAUAAUUUUGAUCAAUUUUUUCCAGUUUUUUCGAGGGAGAGGCUCGACGAAGAGAUAGUUCUCAAUAGCCAUAAUCGAUCCACGUGAAAGACGAGCACGAUGAACAGUUUAAUUGGCUUCGACUUGGUUCAAUUUGAUGGGUCUCGAUGUGGUCAAUAAUUAAACGGUGAAUGUUCUGCUUUAAUUUAUAUACAGCAUGUUAUAGUUCAAUCUUUCUCUAAUAGAAAUAAAAGUACUUGUCUUUUUCUUA